rnacentral:rRNA from 1 species
UGCGUAGGCGGUUUAGUAAGUCAGAAGUGAAAGCUUGCAGCUUAACUGUAAAAUUGCUUUUGAAACUGUUAAACUUGAAUUAGGUUGAGGUUGGCGGAAUGUGACAUGUAGCGGUGAAAUGCAUAGAUAUGUCAUAGAACACCAAUUGCGAAGGCAGCUGACUAGACCUUAAUUGACGCUGAGGCACGAAAGCGUGGGGAGCGAACAGGAUUAGAUACCCUGGUAGUCC